GUGCCAGCAGCCGCGGUAAUACGUAGGCAGCGAGCGUUGUUCGGAGUUACUGGGCGUAAAGGGUGUGUAGGCGGUUUUCUAAGUUUGGUGUGAAAUCUCCCGGCUCAACCGGGAGGGUGCGCCGAAAACUGGGAGACUAGAGUGCGGGAUGGGAGAGUAGAAUUCCUGGUGUAGCGGUGAAAUGCGUAGAUAUCAGGAGGAAUACCGGUGGUGUAGACGGCUCUCUGGACCGCCACUGACGCUGAGACACGAAAGCGUGGGUAGCAAACAGGAUUAGAUACCCUGGUAGUCCACGCCCUAAACGAUGCAUAUUUGGUGUAGGUCAUUCAGUUGAUCUGUGCCGGAGCUAACGCGUUAAAUAUGCCGCCUGGGGAGUACAGUCGCAAGGCUGAA
rnacentral:rRNA from 1 species